UGUUUUUUUUUUUUUUUUUUUUUUUUUU
rnacentral:ribozyme from 1 species